rnacentral:tRNA from 1 species
UUUUAAGUAGUUUAUGGAUAAAAUAUUAAGUUGUGGUCUUAGAGAAAAAGAUUGCUUUCUUAAAUG